GAUGAACGCUGGCGGCGUGCCUAAUACAUGCAAGUCGAGCGAACAGACGAGGAGCUUGCUCCUCUGACGUUAGCGGCGGACGGGUGAGUAACACGUGGAUAACCUACCUAUAAGACUGGGAUAACUUCGGGAAACCGGAGCUAAUACCGGAUAAUAUAUUGAACCGCAUGGUUCAAUAGUGAAAGACGGUUUUGCUGUCACUUAUAGAUGGAUCCGCGCCGCAUUAGCUAGUUGGUAAGGUAACGGCUUACCAAGGCAACGAUGCGUAGCCGACCUGAGAGGGUGAUCGGCCACACUGGAGCGGAGACACGGUCCAGACUCUUACGGGAGGCAGCAGUAGGGAAUCUUCCGCAAUGGGCGAAGGCUUGACGGAGCAACGCCGCGUGAGUGAUGAAGGUCUUCGGAUCGUAAAGCUCUGUUAUUAGGGAAGAACAAAUGUGUAAGUAACUAUGCACGUCUUGACGGUACCUAAUCAGAAAGCCACGGCUAACUACGUG
rnacentral:rRNA from 1 species